AUAUACAUAUACCGCUACAUUAUAUUUUGUUUAACAGUGUGACGAAGCGACAAUGAAGCGUUUCUUGAAAUUUGUCGAGCGACUUUACAAGGGGCUCCGACACGAAAUAUUGAAUAUCGAAACUCGCGUGUAAUAUAACUUAUAAUAUCAUUUUGUAAAUUAUUUUUUGUAUUUUUAUAUAUAUAUACAUAUAUAAAUAACGAAAGCAUACAAAAGAGAGUCGCGGAACAGUGUUAUGCGCACGGCGAGAAAUCAAGAAAGUUAGAGAGAGAGAGAGAGAGAGAGAGAGAAAGAUCGAGUAAGAGGGAGGGAGAGAAAGGGAACGAGAGAAUGUGACAGAAACGAGAGAGAGAGAAAGAGCGUUUGUGAUGAAAGGAAGAGAACAAAAAACAAAAAAAAACCGCGUGACGCAUUAAUUAACACUGACGAUACUUAAUCAGUCGCUGACAGUCCUUUCGUUGAUCGAGAGCGGCGCCAAGAAGAUUAUUAUCCGAACGACUAUGAGAUCGCAUACGGCGCGUAUGCAACGUUUGUAAAAAAUUACACAAGUACACACAUGUGCAUACACACAGACACACGGCGUAAAGUUUAAUUUAAUACGACACGCCAAUCCCGAAGAUUGCGAUUUGUUCCCGAUUAUUUGUACCUCUCUGUAUGUAUUUUGCAGCUUGUCAGUGCUUUUUGUUCAUUAUUACAUUUUAUCUUAUAAAUAAUUAAUUCACCGUCUUUUUGUACCAAUUUACUCUUUACGUGUCGUCGGAAUGCGAGCUUUAACUGUUGAUUCAGUCUACCGGAUAUAGUGCAACGCAACUCCGAAGAGAAGCGCGGCUACGGCCCGCCGAUCUCGGCCGAUCGCUCGCGAUCAUUGGUGACCUCGCAAGCAACUUAGUCAUAUAAUAGCGUAUCACAAAUAUUAUUUUUCUUAAAUAUCAAGCAGACACGAUCAGACAGCGAAUAACUGAGAAAGUUACGUGCUAGAUUUCUAAUUACCUUCGACCGCGGCCUUAAUUGAUUUAACCCUUUCCAUACUCUGGCUAACAUUAUACGUCCUUAUGAUAUUAUCAUGUCCUUAUCACCCGCAUCAUAUGAUGUAUAUGUGUAUCACGAACGCAUACAACUCUACAUAUUACUAAUUUAUUUUCUAACGUAAUAUGUUAUUAAAUAAAUAAAAUACGAAAUCAAACACGAGUUGGAAGGGGUUGUUAGCGUCUAUAGAGAAUGCUGCGAUAUUUUUCGCUAUAAACGAUAAUAAAAAAGAAGCCAGAAUACGAUAUGACUUUUGGUGCAUAUAAUUUUAAUUAGUAAAAUAUUUAGCCGCGUCGAGAAUUGGCACGUCCCCAAAAGACAAUGCUCCAUAUGUGCACAAUUACGCGGUCGGGGGUUGAAUUUCGUAUACAUGGAGAAAGAUUUAUCGUCCUUUGCCGGUCGGGACACGGAGCGCCUCGCGCGGGAUUAUCCCUGCGACGUAUAAGAUGCUAUCGGUCUUAUGUAAAUUAACCGCCAUUCAAGCCGCAAUGGAGUCUGAGUAAUUAUGACAGAUAAUUGCCUCGUAUCUCAUAACGAAAUAACCCCCUAAUCGAUUCUGUAUUCCCCCGCGAGCGAGCGCCUAUCGCGAUUCUCGCUUUGAACCUCGGCCGAUAGCGUGAUACAUUGCCGCGCGAUUCUCCCGAUAAAACCCCGCGCGACCGGCGGGAUAAAUCUGUCCGCUGAAAUAUAAUAAUCAAAAAGCGCACGCGGCGAUUCGCGUGUCGUCAUUUCGCUGUAAUUCGCCUCCAUCCUUGAGUCGGCUUUUAGUAAGCUGCUUGGAAGAGAUCCGUCGAGAAGUUUCAAGAAAUUUCGUUUCACGCAUGGGAGAGGAGAGAGCCAGAGGAAGCAGCGAGAUCUUUGAUUCUCGCGUUUGAGCGUGCGUGUCUGUGUGCGAGCGAAAGAAUGAGAAACAGAGAGAAAGAACUAGUGAGAAAAUGUAUGUAUGAGAGGGAGAGAGAGAGAAAAGUGUAUAUUUUUCGUGAACGUUCUUUCUUAGUUUUCUCAUGCAAGCACGGUGGAUGAGGGUGGUUGCCGAUCGAUUCGAUUGUCCUGGAUCGAAACCGUCAUUGAUCGAUCUCUCAUCGUCCUUCGAUGUCACCGUCGCUGGCCGAGCGAAUCUCUCGAAGUCUCCCGCAAGACUUUCUUUAGUUAAUGAUUCCAUUGACAAGAUCGUCGAAUGUACAGGAAACCGGGCGGUGUAUAUCACGAUUUCCUUCGAAAACGAGACUGGAGAUCUCCGCUAGAAGGGAGGCUAUUUGCACUUCUGAUUGGCCUUUAAUUAGACACUUUAACUAAUCAGGACUGAAAAUACGUAAUGCGCCAAGAGCGUAACGAAGUGGGCUUAUUUAGUAAUAGUCUAAAAUUUGUAUGAUAAAAUUCUUAAUUAUUAAAUAAAUUAGAAACAUACGAUAAGUCCUUAAGACUCGAGGCCGAGAUACAAAUAUCAAACGGCUAAAUGGACCAAUCGGUUGAACAUCGAGGGAUCAA